rnacentral:rRNA from 1 species
GACGAACGCUGGCGGCGUGCCUAAUACAUGCAAGUAGAACGCAGUUGCGAACGGGUGAGUAACGCGUCGGUAACUGCCUCAUAGCGGGGGAUAACUAUUGGAAACGAUAGCUAAUACCGCAUACUUUGAGAUGGACCUGCGUUGUAUUAACUAGUUGGUGAGGUAAAGGCACACCAAGGCGACGAUACAUACACGACCCGAGAGGGUAGACAGCCACACUGGGACUGAGAAACGGCCCAGACUCCUAAGGAAGGAAGCAGUAAGGAAUCUUCGGCAGUGGACGGAAGUCGGACCGAGCAACGCCGCGUGAGUGAAGAAGGAUUUCGGAUAGUAAAGAACUAUUGUUAAAGAAGCGGUAACUAAACAGAAAGGGACGGCUGACUACGUGCCAGCAGCCGCGGUAAUUC